GACGAACGCUGGCGGCGUGCUUAACACAUGCAAGUCGAACGGAAAGGCCCUGCUUUUGUGGGUUGCUCGAGUGGCGAACGGGUGAGUAACACGUGAGUAACCUGCCCUUGACUUUGGGAUAACUUCAGGAAACUGGGGCUAAUACCUGAUAGGAGCUCCUGCUGCAUGGUGGGGGUUGGAAAGUUUCGGCGGUUGGGGAUGGACUCGCGGCUUAUCAGCUUGUUUGUGGGGUAGUGGCUUACCAAGGCUUUGACGGGUAGCCGGCCUGAGAGGGUGACCGGCGAGAUGGGGACUGAGAUAAGGCCCAGACUCCAACGGGAGGCAGCAGUGGGGAAUAUUGCAGAAUGGGCGGAAGCGUGAUGCAGAAACGCCGCGUGCGGGAUGACGGCCUUCGGGUUGUAAACCGCUUUAGCCUGUGACGAAGCGUGAGUGACGGUAAUGGGUAAAGAAGCACCGGCUAACUACGUG
rnacentral:rRNA from 1 species